rnacentral:misc_RNA from 1 species
UCCGAGUUAUCCCCGGCAGUCUCUCUAGAGUGCCCAGCUUAACCUGCUGGCAACUAAAGACAAGGGUUGCGCUCGUUGCGGGACUUAACCCAACAUCUCACGACACGAGCUGACGACAACCAUGCACCACCUGUCACCUCAGUCCCCGAAGGGAAGGCUCCUGUUAAAGAGCUGUCCGAGGGAUGUCAAGUCCAGGUAAGGUUCUUCGCGUUGCUUCGAAUUAAACCACAUGCUCCGCUGCUUGUGCGGGUCCCCGUCAAUUCCUUUGAGUUUCAUACUUGCGUACGUACUCCCCAGGCGGAGUGCUUAAUGCGUUAACUGCGGCACCGAGGUUCGACCCCCGACACCUAGCACUCAUCGUUUACGGCGUGGACUAC